rnacentral:rRNA from 1 species
CCUACGGGUGGCAGCAGUAGGGAAUAUUGCUCAAUGGGGGAAACCCUGACGCAGCAACGCCGCGUGGAGGAUGAAGGUUUUCGGAUUGUAAACUCCUUUUGUUAGAGAAGAUAAUGACGUUAUCUAACGAAUAAGCACCGGCUAACUCCGUGCCAGCAGCCGCGGUAAUACGGAGGGUGCAAGCGUGACUCGGAAUCACUGGGCGUAAAGAGCGCGUAGGCGGGAUAGCAAGUCAGAUGUGAAAUCCUAGGGCUUAACCAUAGAACUGCAUUUGAAACUGGUAUUCUGGAGUAUGGGAGAGGUAGGUGGAAUUCUUGGUGUAGGGGUAAAAUCCGUAGAGAUCAAGAGGAAUACUCAUGGCGAAGGCGACCUGCUAGAACAUAACUGACGCUGAGGCGCGAAAGCGUGGGGAGCAAACAGGAUUAGAUACCCUAGUAGUC